rnacentral:lncRNA from 1 species
AGUGUGCCAUCCUCCUAAUAUCAGCAACAGCAAAGGGCUAAAGAAUCUUCAGCACUACACGAAUGGCUCUCUCUUCUGAAAAGGUAAUAAACGUGUUGCAGAUUUCCAGCCUCUUCCUAAGUGCACCCUGUUAACAGUUUCUAUUUUCUUUCAGUUUUACUACAAAUUAAAAAAAAAUGUGAUAAAGAUCUACUAUAAGCACCUUUCCUGUACUGAUGAGAAAUCGAUGGGACUGCAGACAUUUAACUGGCGCUGAUGAACCCAGUCCACUCUCCUGGAGAUGGUCCAGCAUUAAACCCAGGUUUAGUAUAAUAGGAAAAUUUAGUAAUAGAAUUAAUAGGUACUGGUAGGCAAUGCUCAUCAAAGAAUAACUUCUGACUUUUUACGAACCGUGGUGUGUGGAACAGAAAGCCAGCCCACCUGGAAGAGCUCAUAGGUGUUAGGUCUGUCUCAUAGUUCUUACACUGAAGGGACACAUUUCCCUUUUAAAAUUGUUAAGCAGAAAGUGUAUGUGUUAAAUAUGUGCUGGAAGCAUCUCACUGUGGGGUAUGUCUCAAUGGUGUCCUUCACUAGGUC